rnacentral:rRNA from 1 species
GUAUGCUCAACCUUACCGGAGCAUCGCCCGUAGAACUACGAGCGCAAACGCUUAAAACUCUAAGGACUUGGCGGUGUCCCAAACCCACCUAGAGGAGCCUGUUCUGUAAUCGAUGAUCCACGAUAUACCUGACCAUUCCUUGCCACAAACAGCCUAUAUACCGCCGUCGCCAGCCCACCCACAGUGAAGGACCAACAGUGGACGCAAUAGCCCCAUUACGCUAAUACGACAGGUCAAGGUAUAGCCUAUGGAAUGGAAGCAAUGGGCUACAUUUUCUAAGCUAGAACAUAACGGCAAAGGGACAUGAAAUUGUCCCUGGAAGGAGGAUUUAGCAGUAAAGUGGGACAAUCGAGCCCUCUUUAAGCCGGCCCUGGGACACGUACAUACCGCCCGUCACCCUCCUCAAAAGCGACCCAAACCCCCCCCAUAAACUAAUAAAUUAUCCAGCCAAAGAUGAGGUAAGUCGUAACAAGGUAAGUGUACCGGAAGGUGCACUUAGGAUACCAAGAUGUAGCUUAGCCAAAAGCAUUCAG